rnacentral:rRNA from 1 species
UACGAAGGGGGCUAGCGUUGCUCGGAAUCACUGGGCGUAAAGCGCACGUAGGCGGAUCUUUAAGUCGGUGGUGAAAUCCUGGAGCUCAACUCCAGAACUGCCUCCGAUACUGAGGGUCUUCGAGUCCAGGAGAGGUGAGUGGAAUUCCGAGUGUAGAGGUGAAAUUCGUAGAUAUUCGGAAGAACACCAGUGGCGAAGGCGGCUCACUGGACUGGUAUUGACGCUGAGGUGCGAAAGCGUGGGGAGCAAACAGG